rnacentral:tRNA from 1 species
ACAGAGGUGGUUCAGUGGUAGAAUUCCCAUUUUUCACGUGGGAGAUCUGGGUUGUAUUCCCGACCAGUGCA